AGGGAAAGUUGCAAAGAACUUUCAAGAGAGAGUUCAAUAGGACGUGAAACCGUUUGCAGGUAUACAGAUGGACCCACGAAGUCCAGUUGUGUAAGGGAUUCAUAUUUCUCGGUUAGUUGUCUGCUGACUGGUAUUGCCUUCAUGGUGAGUCAGUUGGUAUGGGAGCUGCUGAGAGAUGCAUUUCCCUUGCUCACGAAGGAGCUCUGGCCGCUGUUUAACUCGGGUUGUGUAAGGCAGCUCUGGUUUGUGAGAUGUACUCUAGGGUACACUUCUACAUUCAAGGGUUCACAAACUGAGUUGAACGAAGCGGGUGAACUUCUCACUUACGUGAGUGGUCAGGUUGUCAGUUCUCUUGUGAAGGCAGAGUGUGCUGGUCUUUGGAUAUUCGGCUCUUGUAGUUGUAGUCUAAGGAAGCUGUGCACUCAUAAUGCCUUUGCAAGUUUACUAACGAUAAUCCAGAGUAAGUACGUCGGUCAUCCAUCUGACCCGUCUUG
rnacentral:rRNA from 1 species